rnacentral:rRNA from 1 species
AGAAUCAACGCUGGCGGCGUGCCUAACACAUGCAAGUCGAACGAGAAAGUGGAGCAAUCCAUAAGUAAAGUGGCGCACGGGUGAGUAACACGUGACUAACCUACCCUGGAGUGGGGAAUAACUGAGGGAAACCUUAGCUAAUACCGCAUAACACCUACGGGUCAAAGGAGCAAUUCGCUUUGGGAGGGGGUCGCGGCAGAUUAGCUAGUUGGCGGGGUAAUGGCCCACCAAGGCGAUGAUCUGUAUCCGGCCUGAGAGGGCGCACGGACACACUGGAACUGAAACACGGUCCAGACUCCUACGGGAGGCAGCAGUGGGGAAUUUUGCGCAAUGGGGGAAACCCUGACGCAGCAACGCCGCGUGGAGGAUGAAGUCCCUUGGGACGUAAACUCCUUUCGAUCGGGACGAUAAUGACGGUACCGGAAGAAGAAGCCCCGGCUAACUUCGUGCCAGCAGCCGC